GCUGACCACGACUGUCACCCACCUGUAUGUGGGAACAGCCACCAUGGAGUCUGUCAGAACGGACAGUGUGAUUGCAGCACCAAACAAGAAGAUCCCGUCGUAGGCAAGAGAGCGACCUCCUGCAGCGCUGACCACGACUGUCACCCACCUGUAUGUGGUAACACCCACCACGGAGUCUGUCAGAACGGACAGUGUGAUUGCAGCACCAAACAACAAGACACAACCGUAGCGACCACGACCUCGAGCUCGACCUCAUGCAGCGCUGACCACGACUGUCAUCCACCUGUAUGUGGGAACAGCCACCACGGAGUCUGUCAGAACGGACAGUGUGAUUGCAGCACCAAAC